rnacentral:rRNA from 1 species
AACCCCGGCGAGGGGAGUGAAAAAGAACCUGAAACCGUGUACGUACAAGCAGUGGGAGCCUCUUUUAUGGGGUGACUGCGUACCUUUUGUAUAAUGGGUCAGCGACUUAUAUUCUGUAGCAAGGUUAACCGAAUAGGGGAGCCGAAGGGAAACCGAGUCUUAACUGGGCGUUAAGUUGCAGGGUAUAGACCCGAAACCCGGUGAUCUAGCCAUGGGCAGGUUGAAGGUUGGGUAACACUAACUGGAGGACCGAACCGACUAAUGUUGAAAAAUUAGCGGAUGACUUGUGGCUGGGGGUGAAAGGCCAAUCAAACCGGGAGAUAGCUGGUUCUCCCCGAAAGCUAUUUAGGUAGCGCCUCGUGAAUUCAUCUCCGGGGGUAGAGCACUGUUUCGGCAAGGGGGUCAUCCCGACUUACCAACCCGAUGCAAACUGCGAAUACCGGAGAAUGUUAUCACGGGAGACACACGGCGGGUGCUAACGUCCGUCGUGAAGAGGGAAACAACCCAGACCGCCAGCUAAGGUCCCAAAGUCAUGGUUAAGUGGGAAACGAUGUGGGAAGGCCCAGACAGCCAGGAUGUUGGCUUAGAAGCAGCCAUCAUUUAAAGAAAGCGUAAUAGCUCACUGGUCGAGUCGGCCUGCGCGGAAGAUGUAACGGGGCUAAACCAUGCACCGAAGCUGCGGCAGCGACACUAUGUGUUGUUGGGUAGGGGAGCGUUCUGUAAGCCUGUGAAGGUGUACUGUGAGGUAUGCUGGAGGUAUCAGAAGUGCGAAUGCUGACAUAAGUAACGAUAAAGCGGGUGAAAAGCCCGCUCGCCGGAAGACCAAGGGUUCCUGUCCAACGUUAAUCGGGGCAGGGUGAGUCGACCCCUAAGGCGAGGCCGAAAGGCGUAGUCGAUGGGAAACAGGUUAAUAUUCCUGUACUUGGUGUUACUGCGAAGGGGGGACGGAGAAGGCUAUGUUGGCCGGGCGACGGUUGUCCCGGUUUAAGCGUGUAGGCUGG